rnacentral:rRNA from 1 species
UAAUUGAAGAGUUUGAUCAUGGCUCAGAUUGAACGCUGGCGGCAGGCCUAACACAUGCAAGUCGAGCGGUAACAGGGGAAGCUUGCUUCUCGCUGACGAGCGGCGGACGGGUGAGUAAUGUAUGGGGAUCUGCCCGAUAGAGGGGGAUAACUACUGGAAACGGUAGCUAAUACCGCAUAAUCUCUCAGGAGCAAAGCAGGGGAACUUCGGUCCUUGCGCUAUCGGAUGAACCCAUAUGGGAUUAGCUAGUAGGUGAGGUAAUGGC